rnacentral:rRNA from 1 species
UACAGGGGGGGCAAGCGUUGUCCGGAAUUACUGGGUGUAAAGGGUCCGUAGGCGGAUCGGUAAGUCAGUGGUUAAAUCCUGCAGCUUAACUGUAGACUAUCCAUUGAUACUGCCGGUCUUGAGUGCGAGAGAGAUGAGUGGAAUUCCAAGUGUAGCGGUGAAAUGCGUAGAGAUUUGGAAGAACACCAGUUGCGAAGGCGGCUCAUUGGCUCGCUACUGACGCUGAGGGACGAAAGCAUGGGGAGCAAACACG